AUUUGUGACGUUGCUAUGGCAUCACAUGAAGAUGCAGGUGGAAGGACCUGGUUGUUUGGUAUCUUGGGUUAAUACCAGUAGGUGGCAAAAUGUAGAGGAAGGCUAGCACAGUCCAUCAAUUGGGAUGUGAGUGCCAAGCAGAAGAGAUGCUCUGCAGGAUCCCUUUGAUCUCUUCAGUGCCAAACAUGGGUUGGAAUAGACUGUACCAGAGCUGCCCAUCUGGAUGGAAGAUGCAUAUUGAUGAGCCUCACUUGCAGUGGGAAGAGGGUUCAGCCAACUCAGCCUGUGAUGAGGGUCACCUGCCACUGGAAAGAAGAAAGAACUAAUUUGAGCUUGAUAGAGGAGAAAUGCAUAUUUGGGACACUAACCAAGUCCACGGGACUCAGUUCAUGAUUGUGCCUGAGAAGGCUCCAUGCAGUUCAAGGCUCAUUUGGGCGAUGAUGGGGGGAGAUG